ensembl:ncRNA lncRNA:CR45588 long non-coding RNA:CR45588
ACUCGAGGAACUCUGCGAGCUGGUUGCGGACUAAUUGCCGCACAAAGCACUUAAUUGACCUCUGGCCCGGUAGAUGGCACUGCAGCCGGAGAUGGCUGAGGGAUGCAGUAAGGUGAAUUAAUUAUGCAGCCGGAGAUGCACCGACUGCAGUCACUUGGUCAUUGCGUGUUUUUUAUUGCACUUUUUUUAUUAUGAUUGUUUCUUUCCAGCGGACCCUGGCACCAGGGAGCACUGGAGUGCGCAUAGUGGAGUGUCAUAAAGAAAUUGCUAACGUCGGCUACGGCAUCUGGCAACUGGGGCAAUGUCGUGACAGAUAAGAAACCGCAAGCCACAACUGAAGUGUCGUCUCUGGUCGUCCCAGACUCCUGCCCCGUGCCUCCUGUGCCCCAAGUUCCCUGCAAAAAGCCCCUAACCCCUUGGUGUCAUCCAUGUGGGUAACGUGACCAACAUGUGCGUGGCAAAGAAGCGGAGAGCUACAGUCGCAGACUGCCAGCAAAUAAAGUGACUGCAUUUGUGUCUACCCAUGUAUGUGGCAGGCCAUGACUACGGACUCACUGG